AUUGAACGCUGGCGGCAUGCCUUACACAUGCCAGUCGAACGGCAGCACGGGUGCUUGCACCUGGUGGCGAGUGGCGAACGGGUGAGUAAUACAUCGGAACAUGUCCUGUAGUGGGGGAUAGCCCGGCGAAAGCCGGAUUAAUACCGCAUACGAUCUACGGAUGAAAGCGGGGGACCUUCGGGCCUCGCGCUAUAGGGUUGGCCGAUGGCUGAUUAGCUAGUUGGUGGGGUAAAGGCCUACCAAGGCGUCGAUCAGUAGCUGGUCUGAGAGGACGACCAGCCACACUGGGACUGAGACACGGCCCAGACUCCUACGGGAGGCAGCAGUGGGGAAUUUUGGACAAUGGGCGAAAGCCUGAUCCAGCAAUGCCGCGUGUGUGAAGAAGGCCUUCGGGUUGUAAAGCACUUUUGUCCGGAAAGAAAUCCUUGGCCCUAAUACGGUCGGGGGAUGACGGUACCGGAAGAAUAAGCACCGGCUAACUACGUG
rnacentral:rRNA from 1 species